GGAGCCAGCUCUGCCCUGAAGGGGCUGAAGCCCACCCGGCCUGCAGCUGCUUCCUGCUGCAGGACAGCCCUGGAAGGUCUGCAGCUCCCGUCAAAGGUGCAGAGGGUGCAGGCCCAUUUCACAAUGGGGAAGACUGAUGCUCAGAGAAUAGCCAGUAUGCUUGAUCAUACCGGUGGCAUGUGGCAGAGAAGGCUGAAGUCCAGGUUCUACUGUUGGCAAAGCUUGGGCCCUUUCCACUCUGCUGUGCCUUCCUCACCUCCACAGUGACCUGGACAUGAAAGGCCCUCUUGGAUGAACUGGUAGUGUCACUGGCAGCAGCUGCUAGGCUACCAGGCUGGGCUGGCUUGCCAUCCUGGCUUCCCCACUGGCCGGCACAGAUCUUCACGGAUUGCAGCAUUCAGGACCUGAGUCCAUGCCCAUGCAGAGGCCCAUUGCAGUGUUUGCUUAGCAUAGCUGCAUUUCCAGAAUGUAGGCAGGAGAAGCUGUAAAAGAUUCUCACCCUGCCAUGCACACUGAUGGCUCACAUUCUAAAGAGUCAGGAGUCAUUUUGGAUUUGGGCUGACCUGGUAGACUUCUGAAAGACAGUGCUCUGGGUUCAAGUUGUCCUCAGAUUGGGCUUGGCCACACCAUCCUCACAAUGGUGAGGCUUCAGAUCCAAUCAGACAGUGCCCAGACCUGGAGUCUCUGAAACCUCUGCUGAGCGGAUGUCCAAGAUGGUGCCUUCAUCUAUGUGCCUGGCCAAAGAUGUUGGCUUUCAGCUGUCCUCUCGGCCUGGGAUCUCAGGAGUGCCCGUAUGAGCCCUCUCCACUCAGCCUCUCCUAGCAUGGUGGCCAGGUCCCAAGAGGGAGCAUCCCAAGGGCCAGGUCCCAAGAGUUGACAAGGAGCUGCAAGGCCUCUGGAUAGCCUGGGCUUGGAAGAAUCAGAACUUGUAUUGGUUGACAAAGUCACAGAGGUUGGCCCAGAGUCAAGUGGGAGAGAUGAGGCCCUUGAAAGGGACUGGCAAGGCCACACCGCGGAAGAGACAGUGGGAUGCUAGAUGUUAUUCAGCCAUCUUUGGAAAAUGCAACCUGCCGCUUCAGACUCAC
rnacentral:lncRNA from 1 species